rnacentral:rRNA from 1 species
GAAGGUGCUGUGCUAACCGCAAGGAGGCAGGCAACCACGGUAGGGUCAGCGACUGGGGUGAAGUCGUAACAAGGUAGCCGUAGGGGAACCUGCGGCUGGAUCACCUCCUUUCUAAGG